CAGCAGCCACGGGAAUACGUAGGGUGCAAGCGUUAAUCGGAAUUACUGGGCGUAAAGCGUGCGCAGGCGGUUCUAUAAGACAGAUGUGAAAUCCCCGGGCUCAACCUGGGAACUGCAUUUGUGACUGUAGAGCUGGAGUGCGGCAGAGGGGGAUGGGAUUCCGCGUGUAGCAGUGAAAUGCGUAGAUAUGCGGAGGAACACCGAUGGCGAAGGCAAUCCCCUGGGCCUGCACUGACGCUCAUGCACGAAAGCGUGGGGAGCAAACAGGAUUAGAUACCCCUGUAGUCCCUGUCUCUUAUAC
rnacentral:rRNA from 1 species